AGCAGCUUGCUGCUUCGCUGACGAGUGGCGGACGGGUGAGUAAUGUCUGGGAAGCUGCCUGAUGGAGGGGGAUAACUACUGGAAACGGUAGUUAAUACCGCAUAAUGUCGCAAGACCAAAGAGGGGGACCUUCGGGCCUCUUGCCAUCGGAUGCGCCCAGAUGGGAUUAGCUUGUUGGUGGGGUAACGGCUCACCAAGGCGACGAUCCCUAGCUGGUCUGAGAGGAUGACCAGCCACACUGGAACUGAGACACGGUCCAGACUCCUACGGGAGGCAGCAGUGGGGAAUAUUGCACAAUGGGCGCAAGCCUGAUGCAGCCAUGCCGCGUGUAUGAAGAAGGCCUUCGGGUUGUAAAGUACUUUCAGCGGGGAGGAAGGGAGUAAAGUUAAUACCUUUGCUCAUUGACGUUACCCGCAGAAGAAGCACCGGCUAACUCCGUGCCAGCAGCCGCGGUAAUACGGAGGGUGCAAGCGUUAAUCGGAAUUACUGGGCGUAAAGCGCACGCAGGCGGUUUGUUAAGUCAGAUGUGAAAUCCCCGGGCUCAACCUGGGAACUGCAUCUGAUACUGGCAAGCUUGAGUCUCGUAGAGGGGGGUAGAAUUCCAGGUGUA
rnacentral:rRNA from 1 species